AGUGAACGCUGGCGGUAGGCCUAACACAUGCAAGUCGAACGGCAGCACAGUAAGAGCUUGCUCUUACGGGUGGCGAGUGGCGGACGGGUGAGGAAUACAUCGGAAUCUACUUUUUCGUGGGGGAUAACGUAGGGAAACUUACGCUAAUACCGCAUACGACCUACGGGUGAAAGCAGGGGAUCUUCGGACCUUGCGCGAUUGAAUGAGCCGAUGUCGGAUUAGCUAGUUGGCGGGGUAAAGGCCCACCAAGGCGACGAUCCGUAGCUGGUCUGAGAGGAUGGUGCGCGACGCUGGAACUGAGACACGGUCCAGACUCCUACGGGAGGCAGCAGUGGGGAAUGUUGAACAAUGGGCGGAAGCAUAAUCCAGUCAUGCCGAAAGAGUGAAGAAGUCAUUCGGGUCUUAAAGCUGUUUUGUUAGGAAAGAAAAGCAGCAGGUUAAUACGCCGAUGUUGUGACGGUACCAAAAGAAUAAGCACCGGCUAACUUGGUG
rnacentral:rRNA from 1 species